AUGCAUCCACUGAUAGGCCUGAAGCAAGCUGCCUUGGCUUCAAGGUUUGCAAAUAGAUGCUAAACUUAACUUUCCUCUUGCUUUCUGACUGCUACUUUAACUUGGCAGCCCAGGUUGAAUUGGGGAAUACACCU